UCUCCGUUGGUGAACCAGCGGAGGGAUCAUUACCAGAGUUUUACAACUCCCAACCCUUCCGUGAACCUACCUAUCGUUGCUUCGGCGGACUCGCCCCAGCGUCCGGACGGCCUCGCGCCGGCCCGCGACCUGGACCCAGGCGGCCGCCGGAGACUACACAAUCCUGUAUCCAUCAGUCUCUCUGAAUCCGCCGCAAGGCAAAACAAACGAAUCAAAACUUUCAACAAUGGAUCUCUUGGUUCUG
rnacentral:misc_RNA from 1 species